rnacentral:lncRNA from 1 species
ACGCAUGUGGGGUUGGAUCCAAGGGCCCACAUGUGCCCUUCCUUUAAUAAUUUUGAAAAUAAUAGUUCUCAAGGAAAUUACAGCAGAAACAAUUUUAUAAAUUCUGAAAAAUUUCUAAAAUUCAUUAAAAUAAAUAUGUAAAAAACAAGUGACUAAAGGGCAUUCAACCCAACCUAGUGACUAUGAUCUACAACUGUCGUCUCAAACCAACCUAAUGGAACCCAUGACCCACAAUCCCAUACAAAGGGCUCAUGAUUGGCUUGUCAAAGUUAGCCACUAAAUAGUAGAAUCAUAGUCCCGAACAGUUCUCCACUCAAGAGCAAGUCAAGCACAUAUCACUAUAAUGCAAGGGGACUCUCUCUAUGCACAUGUGCAUGUAUCCUGCUUUAGGGUUGCUUUCCAGUAAUGCAGCUGUCAUAUGUACAUGCCGGGUGAAAGUUUGUUGAGGAUUUAGCCCUUGCUCUCACAGGCCUACAUCCGCACACAGGAGACCACAUAGCUCUUUUGGC